CUGCCUCAAGCAGUUCAAUAUGCUAGCAGCUGUAUGAUCUUUAGCAUGUAAUCAUGUUGAAUACAUAUCCUCUUCGUGCAUUUUAGCAAACAGAUGUGAGAAAGUUCCUGCUUGGAGAACUGUACUGCAUUUACAGCUCGCUGAGUGAACAGUGCCAAAAUCUGAAUUCGGCAUGAGGUUCUCAUCCAUCAUUCCCAGAUAACCAUCUCUGCAGUGAACCGUGAAAGUGUUGUCGGACGAAUUCAGGCCGAUCUUGUUUUGUGCACCUUAUGGCUUUGACAGCUGCUCGCCCAAAGGGAGGGAAAGACCCGCUUUCAUCCUUGGAUGUUCACCUGACCCUUUUCGUAAUGUAAUAAAGCCCCGUAAUGUUUACAGUAUUGGUUGUGCUUCAGAGAAUCCUAGAAAUUUGUCUUCCAAGCAGGAGGUUGUACUUUUGACCUCAUAUAAG